AGCUGCAUAUGGAAAAAGAUUUGAUGGGUUCCUCAUCCCAUCUUAUAGAUAAACAUCAACAUUUUAUUAAAUGGAUUGAGAUGUUAGAAAAUAUAUGAUUAUUGUCUAUUGACCCAUGAUAUAAUCUAACUCUAUAGGUAUUAGAACCAUGUUUAUAUCUGGACUACUUGACUGUAAUUUAACAUAUUAGCCGAUCUUGUAUAGAGUUUCUAAUGCUAAUAACUCAACUUUUGAUGCAAUAGUAAUGUUUGCCAUAUCUGGUUACAAUUAACAGCACUAUCAAAUUUAU